GGCUGGUCCGAAGGUAGUGAGUUAUCUCACCUGAUUGUUCACAGCCAGUUAUAGAUUGAACUCCUUGUUCUACUACUGGCCCCCUUCCUCACUACUGCACUUGACUAGUCUUAA
rnacentral:Y_RNA from 1 species